GACGAACCGUCCUAACGUUGUUCGGAUUCACUGGGCUUAAAGGGCGCGUAGGCGGACUGGUAAGUCCGGGGUGAAAUCUUUCGGCUCAACCGGAAAAGUGCCUUGGAAACUGCCAGUCUCGAGGGGUAGGGGCCUGUGGAACUUCGGGUGGAGCGGUGAAAUGCGUUGAUAUCCGAAGGAACGCCGGUGGCGAAAGCGACGGGCUGGACCCCUUCUGACGCUGAGGCGCGAAAGCCAGGGGAGCAAACGGG
rnacentral:rRNA from 1 species